rnacentral:rRNA from 1 species
AGAGUUUGAUCCUGGCUCAGGACGAACGCUGGCGGCGUGCCUAAUACAUGCAAGUAGAACGCUGAAGGAGGAGCUUGCUUCUCUGGAUGAGUUGCGAACGGGUGAGUAACGCGUAGGUAACCUGCCUGGUAGCGGGGGAUAACUAUUGGAAACGAUAGCUAAUACCGCAUAAGAGUGGAUGUUGCAUGACAUUUGCUUAAAAGGUGCACUUGCAUCACUACCAGAUGGACCUGCGUUGUAUUAGCUAGUUGGUGGGGUAACGGCUCACCAAGGCGACGAUACAUAGCCGACCUGAGAGGGUGAUCGGCCACACUGGGACUGAGACACGGCCCAGACUCCUACGGGAGGCAGCAGUAGGGAAUCUUCGGCAAUGGACGGAAGUCUGACCGAGCAACGCCGCGUGAGUGAAGAAGGUUUUCGGAUCGUAAAGCUCUGUUGUAAGAGAAGAACGAGUGUGAGAGUGGAAAGUUCACACUGUGACGGUAUCUUACCAGAAAGGGACGGCUAACUACGUGCCAGCAGCCGCGGUAAUACGUAGGUCCCGAGCGUUGUCCGGAUUUAUUGGGCGUAAAGCGAGCGCAGGCGGUUAGAUAAGUCUGAAGUUAAAGGCUGUGGCUUAACCAUAGUAGGCUUUGGAAACUGUUUAACUUGAGUGCAAGAGGGGAGAGUGGAAUUCCAUGUGUAGCGGUGAAAUGCGUAGAUAUAUGGAGGAACACCGGUGGCGAAAGCGGCUCUCUGGCUUGUAACUGACGCUGAGGCUCGAAAGCGUGGGGUGCAAACAGGAUUAGAUACCCUGGUAGUCCACGCUGUAAACGAUGAGUGCUAGGUGUUAGACCCUUUCCGGGGUUUAGUGCCGUAGCUAACGCAUUAAGCACUCCGCCUGGGGAGUACGACCGCAAGGUUGAAACUCAAAGGAAUUGACGGGGGCCCGCACAAGCGGUGGAGCAUGUGGUUUAAUUCGAAGCAACGCGAAGAACCUUACCAGGUCUUGACAUCCCUCUGACCGCUCUAGAGAUAGAGCUUUCCUUCGGGACAGAGGUGACAGGUGGUGCAUGGUUGUCGUCAGCUCGUGUCGUGAGAUGUUGGGUUAAGUCCCGCAACGAGCGCAACCCCUAUUGUUAGUUGCCAUCAUUUAGUUGGGCACUCUAGCGAGACUGCCGGUAAUAAACCGGAGGAAGGUGGGGAUGACGUCAAAUCAUCAUGCCCCUUAUGACCUGGGCUACACACGUGCUACAAUGGCUGGUACAACGAGUCGCAAGCCGGUGACGGCAAGCUAAUCUCUUAAAGCCAGUCUCAGUUCGGAUUGUAGGCUGCAACUCGCCUACAUGAAGUCGGAAUCGCUAGUAAUCGCGGAUCAGCACGCCGCGGUGAAUACGUUCCCGGGCCUUGUACACACCGCCCGUCACACCACGAGAGUUUGUAACACCCGAAGUCGGUGAGGUAACCGUAAGGAGCCAGCCGCCUAAGGUGGGAUAGAUGAUUGGGGUGAAGUCGUAACAAGGUAGCCGUAUCGGAAGGUGCGGCUGGGUCACCU